CCUGAGCACCAAUGUACAGGGUGGCUGUCCACAGCGUCCCUCGCUCUAUGACGCAUGAUGACGUUUCCUCCAGCCUCGUUCUGACAGACAGGUGAACGGAGCGACGACGCCAUGUUGAGCGAAAACGGAAGUGUAUUACUCUGCUCUUAAAAACAUCUUUAGAAUAUUUUUUUGAAGAGGAUCCGGACACUUUAGAAGUAAAACCCACCCAGAAGGCAGCUGAACCGAAUUCUUCUUUUGUUUACGCGUCAGUUAGGGACCAUCCUCUUUGCGGGACUCUUUUAGUGCAACUUUACAGUGACUGACAGCGUCAAAUCACUUCACGGGGUGAUCGCAAGUUACAGAUCGGGACUUCGAGAUGCCGCUGGCGCAGUUUGCAGACCCCUGGCAGAAGUUGCCUGUGGGGCAUAUGGAGAAUGAGGAUGACUCCAUGGUGGAUGAUGAUGCUCCUGUUCAAAGUACAGCCUGGUUUUAUUGGUUUCCUGUUGGAUGAGUGACAUGGCAAGCGGCCAGUAGGAGAAGAGGAUGUUCAGCAUUCACUUCAAGCUGAGCUUCAUUUUCCAACAACCCAGCAGAAAUGUUUCUGAAAGCUGUCAGAUCACUUGAUAGGGCUGUUUGUGACCCAGAGGAGUGGGUUC